AGUCUGACGGAGCACGCCGCGUGAGUGAUGAAGGUUUUCGGAUCGUAAAGCUCUGUUGCCAGGGAAGAAUGCUUAGGAGAGUAACUGCUCUUAAGGUGACGGUACCUGAGAAGAAAGCCCCGGCUAACUACGUGCCAGCAGCCGCGGUAAUACGUAGGGGGCAAGCGUUGUCCGGAAUUAUUGGGCGUAAAGCGCGCGCAGGCGGCCUUGUAAGUCUGUUGUUUAAACUCGGAGCUCAACUCCGAGUCGCAAUGGAAACUGCAAAGCUUGAGUGCAGAAGAGGAAAGUGGAAUUCCACGUGUAGCGGUGAAAUGCGUAGAGAUGUGGAGGAACACCAGUGGCGAAGGCGACUUUCUGGGCUGUAACUGACGCUGAGGCGCGAAAGCGUGGGGAGCAAACAGGAUUAGAUA
rnacentral:rRNA from 2 species